rnacentral:tRNA from 1 species
UGCGGAGUAGAGAAGCGGUCUAUCUCGCCACGUUCAUACCGUGGAGAUCGUCGGUUCAAAUCCGACCUGCCGCAACCA